GGUGAACGCUGGCGGUAGGCCUAACACAUGCAAGUCGAACGGCAGCACAGGAGAGCUUGCUCUCUGGGUGGCGAGUGGCGGACGGGUGAGGAAUACAUCGGAAUCUACUCUGUCGUGGGGGAUAACGUAGGGAAACCUACGCUAAUACCGCAUACGACCUACGGGUGAAAGCAGGGGACCUUCGGGCCUUGCGCGAUUGAAUGAGCCGAUGUCGGAUUAGCUAGUUGGCGGGGUAAAGGCCCACCAAGGCGACGAUCCGUAGCUGGUCUGAGAGGAUGAUCAGCCACACUGGAACUGAGACACGGUCCAGACUCCUACGGGAGGCAGCAGUGGGGAAUAUUGGACAAUGGGCGCAAGCCUGAUCCAGCCAUACCGCGUGGGUGAAGAAGGCCUUCGGGUUGUAAAGCCCUUUUGUUGGGAAAGAAAUCCAGCUGGCUAAUACCCGGUUGGGAUAACGGUACCCAAAGAAUAAGCACCGGCUAACUUCGUGCCAGCCGCCGCCGUAA
rnacentral:rRNA from 1 species